CCUACGGGUGGCUGCAGUGGGGAAUAUUGGACAAUGGGGGCAACCCUGAUCCAGCCAUGCCGCGUGUGUGAAGAAGGCCCUCGGGUUGUAAAGCACUUUCAGUGAGGAAGAACGCCUGGUGGUUAAUACCCAUCAGGAAAGACAUCACUCACAGAAGAAGCACCGGCUAACUCCGUGCCAGCAGCCGCGGUAAUACGGAGGGUGCGAGCGUUAAUCGGAAUUACUGGGCGUAAAGCGCGCGUAGGUGGCUUGAUAAGCCGGUUGUGAAAGCCCCGGGCUCAACCUGGGAACGGCAUCCGGAACUGUCCAGCUAGAGUGCAGGAGAGGAAGGUAGAAUUCCCGGUGUAGCGGUGAAAUGCGUAGAGAUCGGGAGGAAUACCAGUGGCGAAGGCGGCCUUCUGGACUGACACUGACACUGAGGUGCGAAAGCGUGGGUAGCAAACAGGAUUAGAUACCCCUGUAGUC
rnacentral:rRNA from 1 species